CAGUUCUCUCUUCUAAGCUCUUUAUCAUCCUGAUUUCUGAUGUAAAAAGCAUGACGCCAUGCACAAAAUGGGCCUUCAAUGAAUAACCGAUGCAGGACCAGGCACUGAAUGCAGAUGCAUAAACUAACUGGAGCUCAGAGGAUUUUGGUGAGUCCCCCUGGCCACAGCCAGUGAGCAUCAAUGUCAAGAUGCCUUGAAUCCUGGGCUUCAGCUCCAAAGCCAUAACCAGUCCACUAUGCUCCCGUGGGUCCAGUGCUUUAUAAAGAUCCUUGCAGGAUCGUCCCUAGAGGAUUGUGGUAUUUCUAGCCAUACUCAGGAAAAUUGCCACAGGUGCUCAAGUAUAUCAGCUACCACCCCAUCUGCUGCUGGCACUAAUACUUCUCCAGGAUACCUCCCCUCCAGUGUCCUCCAUCCCUAUAGGGCCAACACUGCUCUUAAGCCUUGAAGUAUCACACGUGCAUGGCAGUUGCCAGCAAAGGGGAGAAAAAUCUCUGUAUCCAUUCAGGUGACACUAGCCGCUGUAUGGAUAAACACCUAAAUCUCACUUGGCUGAAUGCAAUAAAAGUUUAUCUGGUGCUCACA